rnacentral:rRNA from 1 species
AAUUUUUGUAAGGGUUACCUCUGGUAACUAUUGUAGUUCAGUGUUAUUAAAAACUCCUCUAUAGUCGAAUAUAUUCGUACUGUUAUCUUUAUCUCAAUUUAAUAGAACAGAAAAUUUAUUUUCAAUGAAAUAAUUGUGUAUACUAAUAACUCUUUUUUACCUGAGCUGCAUUAGCGAACGUACUGAAUUUAAGCAUAUUAAUAAGUACGAACCAAAAUAAAUAUGAAACCUUGAGUACUGGCGAAGGAAAAAGGUCUACGGUCAGCGAAGACUAUAUUCAUUUAUAGUCAUUGUGUUGUUUACUCAUGAGUCUGAGUUAAGAUAAAAGCUGCAUCGAAUUAUGCGGAAAUAUUGGUGAAAUCCCAAAUAUAUCUUAAUUUUACUUACAGUAAAUGUCAAGUAGCGGUUACUUCAAAAUGUAGCGUGAAUCCGGAGGUAACCACCUUCGAACCGUAAUCAUUAUCCAAUUCCAAUAGCAUAACAGUACCGUGAGGGAAAAGUGAAAAGGCGACUAUAUAGUCAGUUAAAAGAAACUCAACUAUAAGAGUAGAAGGUCGUAAAUAGGAGAUAUAGAACUUGAAAACCUCUAUUGAUUGAAAUUGUUUUAUAGACAUUUCUAAGCUUUCUAUUUACUACGCCCGUCUUGAAACACGGACCAAGGAGUCAUUCGCCACUGCAAACUGAAACCUUAGUUGUGAAAGUGUAUUUCAGUAGUGUUGAAUGGACCCGAAAGGUGGUGAACUAUUCCUGAGAGGGUAAAAGCCAGGGGAAACGCUGGCAGAUGACCUAUGUGAUACUGACGUGCAAUUCGUUCAUUUUACUUGGGAAUAGGGGCGAAAGACUAAUCGAACCACUUAGUAGCUGGUUCCUCUCGAAGUUUCUCCUAGGAUAGCGGACAUGUUAUGAAAUCACAUACAUUAGAGCAAUGUUUUGAGGAUCCGGGGACAACUGUUCUUGACCUAGUCACAAACUACUAACAUAUGUUGAUUGUAAGUUUAUUCACUUUCAAUCGUUGAUUUACAUGUCUCGUGGACCGUUUUUGGUAAGCAGAUACGGUGCUUUGGAAUGCUCCAAGCAUGAUGGAAAGGGAUAUAACUCUUCGUUUAUUUCUUUAAAAGGUGUUUAUACAUUUAAACAGUCCGAGGAUGGCCAUGGAAGUAGGAAUUCCCUAAGGAGUGUGUAACAACUCACGGACCGAAUGGAUAAGCCCUUAAAAUGGACUGUGUUAAAACGAUGGGCCCGUAUCAUCAUAGCUCAAUAUAUUCUAUUGAGUUUGUAGAGAGGCGUGUCCAUUGAAUGGAAGUUCGGUUUUGAGACCGGGUGGAUCAAUGGACAUUGUAGAUCUUGGUAGAAGUAGCAACAUUUUAGUUUUAAACUAAAAGACGGAUGAAGGAGAGGUUUUUAUGGAUACAUUAUAUGGCUAUAAGUGAACCGAUCUUAACAACAUUAAUUAUGUUGGAAAAGGAAUCAGGCUUUCAUUCCUGAGUUCGGAGGAUUAAUAAUUGCGGUGACGUUUCAUCUACUAAAAUGUCUAGGGUGUACUUUCUGGCUGCGUUCUCUAUGCUCCUUAACUCCCUACGUAUUGUUGAAGAGAUUUAGUCUAAGACACAAUAUUAGGGCAGGAAUUAUGUAUUUAUACAAGAUCGGUACACCAUUGCGCUCACUUUAAGUAGAUAAUAUGUCCUCCGAUUCGUACCAAUAACCGCAUCAGGUCUCUAGGGUUCAAAACCUUUCGUUUGUGGAAUAAAAUAGGCUAGGGAAGUCGGCAAAAUAGAUCUGUAACCUUGGAAAAAGGGUUGGCUCUGCAGGCUAUAAAACAAUGUUCUUUGACAUUAGCUAGUUUUGGGAGUUUUACUUCUGAUUCUUGUGAAGUCUUUGAAUCUGUUUUUGAUAUGCUAUAGUAGAACCGAGACAUUAAGGGGAAUCCGACAGUUUAACUAAAACCAAGCACUCUGAAUGUGUUAACAUCAGCACAGAGUGUGAAUUCUGCCCGGUGCUUUGAAUGUCAAUGUGAGGAGACUCAUUUAAGCGCGGGUUAACGGCAGGCGUAACUAUGACGCUUUCAACGUAGCAAAAUGCCUCGUCAUCUAAUUAGUGACUCGCAUGAACGGAUUAAUGAGAUUCCUACUGUCCCUGUCUAUUUUCCAGCGAAUCUACAGCUUAGGGAACGGGCUAAGCU